CAGCAGUAAGGAAUAUUGGUCAAUGGACGCAAGUCUGAACCAGCCAUGCCGCGCGGAGGAUGAAGGCCCUGUGGGUUGUAAACUUCUUUUAUUUGGGAAGAAACCCUUCUUUUUUAAGGUGGUUGACGGUACCAGAUGAAUAAGCACCGGCUAACUCCGUGCCAGCAGCCGCGGUAAUACGGAGGGUGCAAGCGUUAUCCGGAUUCAUUGGGUUUAAAGGGUGCGUAGGUGGCCAGGUAAGUCAGUGGUGAAAUCUCCGGGCUUAACCCGGAAACUGCCGUUGAUACUGUCUGUCUUGAAUGUAGUAGAGGUGAGCGGAAUAUGUCAUGUAGCGGUGAAAUGCUUAGAUAUGACAUAGAACACCCAUUGCGAAGG
rnacentral:rRNA from 1 species